GAGAAAGGCACAGUUUUCGGCUAUCACUCGUAUCAGUGUGAUGCUGGGCCGGCGCCGGCGCACCGAACUACGUGUGGCGCGGUUCUACCCACCUAUAGAAACCACACUCAAAUAGCUAUAAACAGGAUAGUUUGAUACCAUGGCGCUGAACAAGAUUAUGGUCUAUUCUGGCGUCGCCACCUUGCUCCAAGCGAUUGGGCAGGCGAUCUUCGCAUCACUCGGCGUAGCUCAAUAUUUCUGCGUCAUCGACUUUUUAAGAGGGCUGCCCGUUCUACUAUAUAUAAGGAUUCUCUAUUUCCAUAACCCCAACAGUUGCGGCGAGAGAGUGAACAUCGGAGAAGUUAUCGACGGUAUUGUGGACCAAGCCUUCGUUUUGAUAAGAAAUGAACCGACCCCUGUGUUCAGAACUUUCAUCGUCAACUGCGUCAGUCUCGGCCUCAGCGUGUUUUGGAUAAUGAGCAGUGUUUUUAUGUUGAUGGGUGGAGCAAGAGAUGAGCAGACAAAAUGCAGGAGAUGGCCCUGGAUUAUAACGACGGUGGCCGCGUGCGGACUGGACCUGGUGGCAGCUGUGACAUAUGCCAACGACUCCUUCCAUACUAGGACCAUGAAAGAUAUGAUGGAUUUCAUCGACGGGACCGCCAGUGGUCUUGGUGACACACAGCUGAACACCGCCUGGGCAUCUUGGAUCAUGGUCAUAUUAUACUCCCGCUUCGUCAUCCUUUUCAUUCUAAACGUCAUCCUUCUAAUCAUUGUCAUCGUGGACUGCAAUGUUAAGAAGGAACCUGUCAAAGAUGAGAAUGUAGAAGCCCCGUCUCCCCCACCAGUUCAGGCGGCAGUACCAGCUCCUCAAGUUGUAGUUCCAGUGCAAGUUUCCACAGCAGUCCAAGCGAGCCCCCCUCAAGAUCCCACUCCACCACUCACCACCGACGGAAUCAGUGACAGAGAUGAUGAACUUGGCAGCUUGCCCAGUGAAAGGGUGACGACGCACAUACCCCGAGCAGGGUUAAGCAGAUCCUUCCGAAGAAUGAAAGCUUUUCUGUUUAGGAAGACCCCGUCGCCAGUGCAAACGAGAUCUAGUCCUGAUUCAUUGCAACCUUCUCCUGAGAGAUCUCCGCGCGCCCAGCAUUUCGAAGGGGACAUAGACAAGAAGCGCACGGUGAACUUCCCAACCAGCCUGAUGUCGUUACCACAGAGGUUGGAGAACAUUAUGGCUGAACAGCAAAGACGCCUGGACCAGUCCGUCAUAGACACGUCGGGACGCGCCAGUCCGCCGCGCGCUUCGCAGUCCAUGCCUCAUCUAGCUUCCACCUCCAACCAAACUGAUGGACGAGGUCUGAAUGAGUCUUCUGUCUCGCUUCGAGACUUCUUUGAAGGCGCGGAACUACGGCCGAGCUACAGGGGCAGCUUCCCUGGUCGUAUAUACCGGCGUCCGCGCACCGCAUGCGGGACCAACUCCCUCCGGACGAGGACUUGCCGCCGGUACCUCUCCCGGACUACACCGCCCUCCAGCCCGUUAGAAAAGCAUCCGUCCAUCGAGGGGCUUCCAGCUUAAGCUCUCUCACACAGAAGAAAGAUUAUGCGACAUCCCGGUCUGUGCGUUGUGAGUAUUACACAUACAAGAAGACUUAACACCAGUCAUACAUGCUUCCCAAACAGCGUUAAAUGAAUCCGACGUUCUAUACUAAUUUAAUUAAUAAGGAUUGCCUGCUGUAAAAACAAUCUCAGAUUAGUUCAAUUGGCAAUUUGUUUUACAGUAAUAAAAUCUAUAUUUUUUGGUUAUGUUUGACAAAGUAUGCGAAAACUAGUUUGAUCGGAGAUCCUUUUUUGUAAAUAACACUUAGACAUAAGGAAAAUUAUGUUAAAAUGCUAGUGCUUAUUUAAAAGUAUUUAUUAUUCUCUUAUUUUUAUAAAAACAGUGUACUUUGGUUUAGUUAUAUUUCAUAUAUUAUUUUAUAAAAAUAAUAACUGAUGUUGAACACAGUGCAAUAUCGGAUUAUUAUUUAUUGUAUUAUUAAAUUAUAGUAGAAUUGUUCAACAGAGCUUUCUGAUUUCAAUUUACAAUGAGAUAUUGUUAAGCUCGACUCUUAGUAUAAGGUAUAAUUUAUAAUUGUUAACAUCAUGCACUUUGUAAUAAAGAUAUAGGAAACUAACGUUUUAGAUUUUAUACCCUAUGGAUAUUCAAUAAAUUUCGUAUAAUAACAUA